ACAUAAUUUGGAAUUAUAACAUGUGUUAAAAUGUAGGUACUAAAUAUUUUGAAUUAAAUCACUGGUUUUAAAAAUGUAUCGCACGCUUUAAAGAUAGGGGAAGAGGUCAUUUCAUAUUUCGUUUUAGGGGGGGGUUAUUAACUUUAUGGAAAACAAUAUUCACACAAACAACACCGUUUAGAGCAGUUUGGAGAUUAUUAGCCAUGUAAACGGGGAGCAAAAGAGCGGAUUUAACCAACUCUGUACAAACCGGCGCUCCAGGGACAAGACUGCCCGGAGACAGACCCAGCAGAAUCUGGAACGCUAGAGGGGAAAAGUCACACACCCCCGGUUUCGGCGAUUCGUCACAACAAGCGCCAAAAAAGCAGAGACUCCGCACCGGCGAAAAACGGCACAGACGACCACAUAAAUCUAGAGCUGGGGGAUUCCGGCGCCCCGAGCAUUCCGAAUGAAACACCCAAGAGACCUGUUUUUAAGGACAUGUCAGAUGUUGAUGACCAGCUAUUCUGUGAUGCGGCCAACCUUAUAGACCCAGUCAAUUCUACGGCCUCAAUACCUGCAGCCGAACAAGAAAGGUUUUUCACAUUAUUUUCCAGGGCUUUGAAAUCGAGGAAUGUUUUGGUAUACAAACGACUGGGGGAUUUAAUUGAGAGACAGUACAGAGACGAUAUGUUAUUCUGCCAUUUUUGUAUAAUUAAGAGUGUUCGUUUUUUUUCUUUCUGUAAUGGUUGGUGUUACAUGUAUGAUUUUAGCGUCUGUAUUUGCGUUUUUUAAUGGGGUUGCUGUUUAACAUGCGUGGAAUUGUUCUAUGCCAGAAUAACAUAUCGUCUCUGUACUGUCUCUCAAUUAAAUCCCCCAGUCGUUUGUAUAGCAAAACAUUCCUCGA